UACGUGGGGGGCGAGCGUUGUCCGGAGUUACUGGGCGUAAAGGGCAUGCAGGCGGUCGGACGCGUUUUGUGUGACAGCGGAUGGCUUACCUAUCCGAGCAUACGAAAGACGGUGCGACUUGAGGACUCGAGAGGGACACGGAAUUCCGGGUGGAGUGGUGAAAUGCGUAGAGAUCCGGAGGAACACCGAAGGCGAAGGCAGUGUCCUGGCGAGUGACUGACGCUGAGGUGCGAAAGCCAGGGGAGCGAACGGG
rnacentral:rRNA from 1 species